ACAGAGGUCUCAAGCGUUGUUCGGAUUCAUUGGGCGUAAAGGGUGCGUAGGUGGCGUGGAAAGUUGAGUGUGAAAUCCUAGGGCUUAACCUUAGAACUGCACUCAAUACUCCCAUGCUAGAGGAAUGUAGAGGAGAGUGGAAUUCACGGUGUAGCAGUGAAAUGCGUAGAUAUCGUGAGGAAGACCAGUUGCGAAGGCGACUCUCUGGGCAUUUCCUGACACUGAGGCACGAAGGCCAGGGGAGCAAACGGGAUUAGAUACCCCGGUAGUCCUGGCAGUAAACGGUGCACGUUUGGUGUGGGCGGGCUCAGACCCCGUCCGUGCCGGAGCUAACGCGUUAAACGUGCCGCCUGGGAAGUACGGUCGCAAGAUUA
rnacentral:rRNA from 1 species